CACUUCCUGGCGCGAAGCUGAUCGGCGGUGGGCUAGGAGGAGUCGGUGAGCUGCUCGGACCCGGACGUACCUGUCUGUAUUGGAGCUUUGGCGGGGCUGUCCAGGUGUCUGAAGGAAGAGCACACACACAGAGAGUGAUGAACCUUCUGCUUGGGAAACACGAUGUGCAGUGUCUGUGGGACACCAGUGGAGACAUCCAACAGGCUAUUGGAUAUGCUGGUUUGGAGGCUGAGUGGCACAGUGAAAGAGAAGAGGCACUGAGAAAGCACCCUGGCCCCUAACGCCAUGCCAGGAAACAGCAAGAAGACUAUGAAGACAGGGACUCUUACCAGAUGCUGCAUAUGCCAGUGCCUGACCUUGGACUUUCUGGCUUCCAGACCUGUAGGAAAUAAAUUUCUGUUGUUUAUAAGC